rnacentral:rRNA from 1 species
CCUACGGGAGGCAGCAGUGGGGAAUAUUGCACAAUGGGCGCAAGCCUGAUGCAGCGACGCCGCGUGAGGGAUGACGGCCUUCGGGUUGUAAACCUCUUUCGCCAGGGACGAAGCGUAAGUGACGGUACCUGGAUAAGAAGCACCGGCUAACUACGUGCCAGCAGCCGCGGUAAU